CGCGAUACAGGGUGACAGCCCCGUACACAAAAAUGCACAUGCUGUGAGCUCGAUGAGUAGGGCGGGACACGUGGUAUCCUGUCUGAAUAUGGGGGGACCAUCCUCCAAGGCUAAAUACUCCUGACUGACCGAUAGUGAACCAGUACCGUGAGGGAAAGGCGAAAAGAACCCCGGCGAGGGGAGUGAAAAAGAACCUGAAACCGUGUACGUACAAGCAGUGGGAGCACGCUUAGGCGUGUGACUGCGUACCUUUUGUAUAAUGGGUCAGCGACUUAUAUUCUGUAGCAAGGUUAACCGAAUAGGGGAGCCGAAGGGAAACCGAGUCUUAACUGGGCGUUAAGUUGCAGGGUAUAGACCCGAAACCCGGUGAUCUAGCCAUGGGCAGGUUGAAGGUUGGGUAACACUAACUGGAGGACCGAACCGACUAAUGUUGAAAAAUUAGCGGAUGACUUGUGGCUGGGGGUGAAAGGCCAAUCAAACCGGGAGAUAGCUGGUUCUCCCCGAAAGCUAUUUAGGUAGCGCCUCGUGAAUUCAUCUCCGGGGGUAGAGCACUGUUUCGGCAAGGGGGUCAUCCCGACUUACCAACCCGAUGCAAACUGCGAAUACCGGAGAAUGUUAUCACGGGAGACACACGGCGGGUGCUAACGUCCGUCGUGAAGAGGGAAACAACCCAGACCGCCAGCUAAGGUCCCAAAGUCAUGGUUAAGUGGGAAACGAUGUGGGAAGGCCCAGACAGCCAGGAUGUUGGCUUAGAAGCAGCCAUCAUUUAAAGAAAGCGUAAUAGCUCACUGGUCGAGUCGGCCUGCGCGGAAGAUGUAACGGGGCUAAACCAUG
rnacentral:rRNA from 1 species